UUAAAUUGAAGAGUUUGAUCAUGGCUCAGAUUGAACGCUGGCGGCAGGCCUAACACAUGCAAGUCGAACGGUAACAGGAAACAGCUUGCUGUUUCGCUGACGAGUGGCGGACGGGUGAGUAAUGUCUGGGAAACUGCCUGAUGGAGGGGGAUAACUACUGGAAACGGUAGCUAAUACCGCAUAACGUCGCAAGACCAAAGAGGGGGACCUUCGGGCCUCUUGCCAUCGGAUGUGCCCAGAUGGGAUUAGCUAGUAGGUGGGGUAACGGCUCACCUAGGCGACGAUCCCUAGCUGGUCUGAGAGGAUGACCAGCCACACUGGAACUGAGACACGGUCCAGACUCCUACGGGAGGCAGCAGUGGGGAAUAUUGCACAAUGGGCGCAAGCCUGAUGCAGCCAUGCCGCGUGUAUGAAGAAGGCCUUCGGGUUGUAAAGUACUUUCAGCGGGGAGGAAGGGAGUAAAGUUAAUACCUUUGCUCAUUGACGUUACCCGCAGAAGAAGCACCGGCUAACUCCGUGCCAGCAGCCGCGGUAAUACGGAGGGUGCAAGCGUUAAUCGGAAUUACUGGGCGUAAAGCGCACGCAGGCGGUUUGUUAAGUCAGAUGUGAAAUCCCCGGGCUCAACCUGGGAACUGCAUCUGAUACUGGCAAGCUUGAGUCUCGUAGAGGGGGGUAGAAUUCCAGGUGUAGCGGUGAAAUGCGUAGAGAUCUGGAGGAAUACCGGUGGCGAAGGCGGCCCCCUGGACGAAGACUGACGCUCAGGUGCGAAAGCGUGGGGAGCAAACAGGAUUAGAUACCCUGGUAGUCCACGCCGUAAACGAUGUCGACUUGGAGGUUGUGCCCUUGAGGCGUGGCUUCCGGAGCUAACGCGUUAAGUCGACCGCCUGGGGAGUACGGCCGCAAGGUUAAAACUCAAAUGAAUUGACGGGGGCCCGCACAAGCGGUGGAGCAUGUGGUUUAAUUCGAUGCAACGCGAAGAACCUUACCUGGUCUUGACAUCCACGGAAGUUUUCAGAGAUGGAUUGUGCCUUCGGGAACUGUGAGACAGGUGCUGCAUGGCUGUCGUCAGCUCGUGUUGUGAAAUGUUGGGUUAAGUCCCGCAACGAGCGCAACCCUUAUCCUUUGUUGCCAGCGGUCCGGCCGGGAACUCAAAGGAGACUGCCAGUGAUAAACUGGAGGAAGGUGGGGAUGACGUCAAGUCAUCAUGGCCCUUACGACCAGGGCUACACACGUGCUACAAUGGCGCAUACAAAGAGAAGCGACCUCGCGAGAGCAAGCGGACCUCAUAAAGUGCGUCGUAGUCCGGAUUGGAGUCUGCAACUCGACUCCAUGAAGUCGGAAUCGCUAGUAAUCGUGGAUCAGAAUGCCACGGUGAAUACGUUCCCGGGCCUUGUACACACCGCCCGUCACACCAUGGGAGUGGGUUGCAAAAGAAGUAGGUAGCUUAACCUUCGGGAGGGCGCUUACCACUUUGUGAUUCAUGACUGGGGUGAAGUCGUAACAAGGUAACCGUAGGGGAACCUGCGGUUGGAUCACCUCCUUACCUUAAAGAA
rnacentral:rRNA from 1 species